rnacentral:rRNA from 1 species
UACGAAGGGGGCUAGCGUUGUUCGGAAUUACUGGGCGUAAAGCGAACGUAGGCGGUGUUCCAUGUCAGAGGUGAAAGCCUGGGGCUCAACUCCAGAAUUGCCUUUGAAACGGGAACGCUUGAGUCCGAGAGAGGGUGGCGGAAUUCCUAGUGUAGAGGUGAAAUUCGUAGAUAUUAGGAAGAACACCGGUGGCGAAGGCGGGUCUCUGGGCCGAUACUGACGCUGAGGAGCGAAAGCGUGGGGAGCGAACAGG